GACGAACGCUGGCGGUGUGCCUCACACAUGCAAGUCGAGCGGACGAAGAUUGGAGCUUGCUUCAAUCCUAGUUAGCGGCGGACGGGUGAGUAACACGUAGGAAUCUGCCUUUAGGCGGGGGACAACGGAACGAAAGUUGCGCUAAUACCCCAUACGCGGUUAGUUUUCGGAUUAAUCGUAAAAGGAGCAAUCCACCUAUAGAUGAGCCUGCGUCCGAUUAGCUAGUUGGUAGGGUAAAAGCCUACCAAGGCUACGAUCGGUAGUUGGUCUGAGAGGAUGAUCAGCCACAAUGGAACUGAGACACGGUCCAUACUCCUACGGGAGGCAGCAGUGGGGAAUUUUACGCAAUGGGCGAAAGCCUGACGUAGCGACACCGCGUGAGCGAAGAAGCCUUUUGGGGUGUAAAGCUCUGUCAGCUGGAACGAACACAAUGACGGUACCAGCAGAGGAAGCAUCGGCUAACUACGUGCCAGCAGCCGCGGUAAAGUCUAGC
rnacentral:rRNA from 1 species